UGUUUUAGUGGGAUUUACAAAGCUUCAGCUAACAAAUUCCUCAUAGAAUCCUAUUAAGUCACACAAAUCCCCAAGCCUCAAGUCACUAUCAUUGCUCAACGACUCCCAUCCACAGAAACCUUCUAUGUCAAAUAUAAGCCUUCAUUUCUACAGUUAAACAAAUCAAAUUCAUAUAUUGUCAGUGUCUGAAAACAUAUGACCCACUGUGAACCUCUACUCCAU
rnacentral:lncRNA from 1 species